AGGAUGAACGCUGGCGGCGUGCCUAAUACAUGCAAGUCGAGCGAACGGACGAGAAGCUUGCUUCUCUGAUGUUAGCGGCGGACGGGUGAGUAACACGUGGAUAACCUACCUAUAAGACUGGGAUAACUUCGGGAAACCGGAGCUAAUACCGGAUAAUAUUUUGAACCGCAUGGUUCAAAAGUGAAAGACGGUCUUGCUGUCACUUAUAGAUGGAUCCGCGCUGCAUUAGCUAGUUGGUAAGGUAACGGCUUACCAAGGCAACGAUGCAUAGCCGACCUGAGAGGGUGAUCGGCCACACUGGAACUGAGACACGGUCCAGACUCCUACGGGAGGCAGCAGUAGGGAAUCUUCCGCAAUGGGCGAAAGCCUGACGGAGCAACGCCGCGUGAGUGAUGAAGGUCUUCGGAUCGUAAAACUCUGUUAUUAGGGAAGAACAUAUGUGUAAGUAACUGUGCACAUCUUGACGGUACCUAAUCAGAAAGCCACGGCUAACUACGUGCCAGCAGCCGCGGUAAUACGUAGGUGGCAAGCGUUAUCCGGAAUUAUUGGGCGUAAAGCGCGCGUAGGCGGUUUUUUAAGUCUGAUGUGAAAGCCCACGGCUCAACCGUGGAGGGUCAUUGGAAACUGGAAAACUUGAGUGCAGAAGAGGAAAGUGGAAUUCCAUGUGUAGCGGUGAAAUGCGCAGAGAUAUGGAGGAACACCAGUGGCGAAGGCGACUUUCUGGUCUGUAACUGACGCUGAUGUGCGAAAGCGUGGGGAUCAAACAGGAUUAGAUACCCUGGUAGUCCACGCCGUAAACGAUGAGUGCUAAGUGUUAGGGGGUUUCCGCCCCUUAGUGCUGCAGCUAACGCAUUAAGCACUCCGCCUGGGGAGUACGACCGCAAGGUUGAAACUCAAAGGA
rnacentral:rRNA from 1 species